GAUGAACGCUGGCGGCGUGCUUAACACAUGCAAGUCGAACGAUUAAAGCCCCUUCGGGGGUGUAUAGAGUGGCGAACGGGUGAGUAACACGUGGGCAACCUGCCCCUCUCAUCGGGAUAACUCAGGGAAACCUGAGCUAAUACCGAAUACUCCGGGAUGGUCGCAUGGCUGACCCGGGGAAGCUCCGACGGUGAGGGAUGGGCCCGCGGCCCAUUAGCUAGUUGGUGGGGUAACGGCUCACCAAGGCGACGAUGGGUAGCCGAGCUGAGAGGCUGAUCGGCCACACUGGGACUGAGACACGGCCCAGACUCCUACGGGAGGCAGCAGUGGGGAAUCUUGCGCAAUGGGCGAAAGCCUGACGCAGCAACGCCGCGUGCGGGAUGAAGGCCUUCGGGUUGUAAACCGCUUUCAGCAGGGACGAAUCUGACUGUACCUGCAGAAGAAGCCCCGGCUAACUACGUGCCAGCCGCCGCCGUAACAC
rnacentral:rRNA from 1 species